UGUCGCCGUGGUUACCGUGACAAAUCUACUGGUCUAAACAUCGCCCAAACCAGAUGCCUUCAGAGCCUCCGUUGGAGUCCGCCAAAUCUCUCCUGUUCAGCUCAAAGUUGUCCCAGUAAACCUCCACAUAUUGAGAACGCUCAUGUCAGUGGCAGAGGAAACGUUGUUGGAAGUGUCAGGAAGUACACUUGUCGCAAAGGCUACAUGGACACGUCUUAUCCAAAGGGGACCAACGAAGCCAGAUGCCGUGAAAACUUCAGAUGGAGUCAGCCCGGGCUCCGCUGCACGGGUCCUUGGAUCCAGAAGGAAACCGAAGCUACGCGAAGAGGAAGGAAAUACGUUGAGCUGACAGAAGAGGAACUGAAGCAUGUAUUUGCCGAUACAACACUCAUCUUUCAAGUCAAAACCUGCCAUGAUGCCAAUUUCAACUACGACAAAUACGCGACUCGUAAAAAUUUCAAUGACAAAAUAACCAUUGGGGGUGGGGGUAAUACUUUCUGGAAGGUUUACCCUUGUAAUCUAAUAAAAGAAAAUAAUAUCGUUUCCUGUAAGGAGUUUAGAAGCUUCUGGAUCAAGUUUCAUGGCAAUAGAGUACAGGUGGGUAAAGGGGAUACGGUAGGGGAAAGAGAAGUCAUAUCGUGUGAACAUAAGUUCAAGGUAAUCCAUUUGAGAAUUUCAACUUACGUCCGAAAUGCUGGGACGUGGCUUUUCAAAAUACACGGCGGGUAGGAUCAGAAAUGUUUAAAUAAAAAUUAAAUAAUUAUGCCGUUUGCAUGGCCUGUUGGAAUUUCGUUGCUUAUUGAUUACAUUUACUAAGUUUAGAUUACUGGACUGAUACAGCUCAACUUCAUAACAACAUCACAUGCAGGAAAAAGAGGAAACUUCAAGAAAACAUCAAAAUCCAAAGAAGGUUGGUUUGUUGUUUAACGCCGCACUCAGCAAUAUUCCA
rnacentral:lncRNA from 1 species